GUGCUCACUUCAGCAGCACAUGUACUAAAAUUGGAAGGAUACAGAGAUUAGCGUGGCCCCUUGCAAGGAUGACAUGCAAAUUUAUGAAGCAUUCCAUGUUAAA
rnacentral:snRNA from 3 species